rnacentral:rRNA from 1 species
UGGGGGAUAUUGCACAAUGGGCGAAAGCCUGAUGCAGCGACGCCGCGUGGGGGAUGAAGGCUUUCGGGUUGUAAACCUCUUUCGCUAUCGAACAAGGCCCGCUUAGGGUGGGUUGAGGGUAGGUGGAGAAGAAGCGCCGGCUAACUACGUGCCAGCAGCCGCGGUAAUACGUAGGGCGCGAGCGUUGUCCGGAAUUAUUGGGCGUAAAGGGCUUGUAGGCGGCUUGUUGCGCCUGCUGUGAAAACGCGGGGCUUAACUUCGCGCGUGCAGUGGGUACGGGCAGGCUUGAGGGUGGUAGGGGUGACUGGAAUUCCAGGUGUAGCGGUGGAAUGCGCAGAUAUCUGGAGGAACACCGAUGGCGAAGGCAGGUCACUGGGCCAUUACUGACGCUGAGGAGCGAAAGCAUGGGUAGCGAACAGG